UGUAUCGGUUCCCGGGCGUGUCGCACGAGAAAUAAAGGCGGCAAGCGUGGAUAGCUGACAGCGCUGUCUCGCCUUCUAUUUUGGCUGUCUGAGUUCAUCGCUUUCGUUCGUUCCGACUACCUGAAUCGAAAAUAUAUCACAUUUGGGUAGUCGCCGUUUCAAAAAGGAUUUUAGGUCCUUCUUCUUUGACACAUUGGCAGAUGUCAAUCACCAGCAUGCACAGGGAGAUCACUUGUCAUCGCCAAGUACGCAGCGUUCACAGUCGUCACAACAGGCGCUGGCAGAUGCUGGCUUACCUAGUGGAGGACCGCGCCGACUUCAUCAAGCACGGCCGCCCGCUAUGCAAAUGCAGCAGAGAGGAUCAGGAAGCCGCGCAGUGCGCCCUGACUGUGAUCAGCAGAGACGACGAGGGAUGGAUGAACGAAACGUACAAGCACAAGACACUACCGCACUGGAAGAACAAUUAAACCUUUUUUCCGUACGAUUUUCUGGUGGAGUAUUACUCGAGAUAUGGCGGCACAGAUCCAGGUCAUGCUGUUCGUACCCUCCUGCAGAACCUCCUAUCGAAGGAAGGUGCCCUCAAGUUCAGCUUGAAAGGGUAGCAGGGCAGGAAACACGCUUUCUCCGAACUCACGGCCAUCGUGAACUUCAUGCUGACAUCGGUGAGGAGCAGCUUCCCAUCUGCUUCACUUCAAGCAGUGAGCGGAACAACAAAACGCUGGCUAGUCGGGGCGGUUGACAGAGCCGGCGGCCGAAACGAGAGCGCCGCGUGCUACUCCCAAGGCUCUGCAACAGUGCAGGCUAUGUGAUAAACAAAAAUAAAAGCGUGAGAAGGAAUCGUUUGCUUCUCAUUCAUGCGCCCGGAAAAGUGACGAAAAAACAAAAGCAGUCGCUUUUCUU